rnacentral:rRNA from 1 species
GACGAACGCUGGCGGCGUGCCUAAUACAUGCAAGUUGAGCGCUGAAGGUUGGUACUUGUACCAACUGGAUGAGCAGCGAACGGGUGAGUAACGCGUGGGGAAUCUGCCUUUGAGCGGGGGACAACAUUUGGAAACGAAUGCUAAUACCGCAUAAAAACUUUAAACACAAGUUUUAAGUUUGAAAGAUGCAAUUGCAUCACUCAAAGAUGAUCCCGCGUUGUAUUAGCUAGUUGGUGAGGUAAAGGCUCACCAAGGCGAUGAUACAUAGCCGACCUGAGAGGGUGAUCGGCCACAUUGGGACUGAGACACGGCCCAAACGCCUACGGGAGGCAGCAGUAGGGAAACUUCGGCAAUGGACGAAAGUCUGACCGAGCAACGCCGCGUGAGUGAAGAGGGAUUUCGGAUCGUAAAACUCUGUUGGUAGAGAAGAACGUUGGUGAGAGUGGAAAGCUCAUCAAGUGACGGUAACUACCCAGAAAGGGACGGCUAACUACGUG